GAUCAUGGCUCAGAUUGAACGCUGGCGGCAUGCCUUACACAUGCAAGUCGAACGGUAGAGGGGGCAACCCUUGAGAGUGGCGAACGGGUGAGUAAUAUAUCGGAACGUGCCCAGUCGUGGGGAUAACGUAGCGAAAGUUACGCUAAUACCGCAUACGAUCUAAGGAUGAAAGCGGGGGAUCGCAAGACCUCGCGCGAUUGGAGCGGCCGAUAUCAGAUUAGGUAGUUGGUGAGGUAAAGGCUCACCAAGCCGACGAUCUGUAGCUGGUCUGAGAGGACGACCAGCCACACUGGGACUGAGACACGGCCCAGACUCCUACGGGAGGCAGCAGUGGGGAAUUUUGGACAAUGGGCGCAAGCCUGACCCAGCAAUGCCGCGUGCAGGAUGAAGGCCUUCGGGUUGUAAACUGCUUUGUACGGAACGAAACGGUGAGCUCUAAUACAGUUUGCUAAUGACGGUACCGUAAGAAUAAGCACCGGCUAACUACGUG
rnacentral:rRNA from 1 species